rnacentral:rRNA from 1 species
CCUACGGGAGGCAGCAGUGGGGAAUAUUGGGCAAUGGGCGCAAGCCUGACCCAGCAACGCCGCGUGAAGGAAGAAGGCUCUCGGGUUGUAAACUUCUUUUAUCAGGGACGAAGCAAGUGACGGUACCUGAUGAAUAAGCCACGGCUAACUACGUGCCAGCAGCCGCGGUAAUACGUAGGUGGCAAGCGUUAUCCGGAUUUACUGGGUGUAAAGGGCGUGUAGGCGGGAAAGCAAGUCAGAUGUGAAAACCAUGGGCUCAACCUGUGGCCUGCAUUUGAAACUGUUUUUCUUGAGUACUGGAGAGGCAGGCGGAAUGGAUGGUGUAGCGGUGAAAUGCGUAGAGAUUAGACGGAACACCGGGGGCGAAGGCGGUCUGCUGAACAACAACUGACGCUGAGGCGCGAAAGCGUGGGGAGCAAACAGGAUUAGAUACCCUUGUAGUC